UUGAGUCUGGAGACUGAUUUGUGUUUCUCGCUCAGGCUGCGUGACCUGGGUCUGGAGCAGUAUGAUACUGUGGAGCUGUUUGCACAAAUCCUGCUGCCAGCUGUCUUCCUACUGGCCUGCAUCCUGCAGCUGCAUUAUUUCAACUCUGACUUCCUCUCUCUCACUGACCUGGAGAACAUCACUGUCCUGGACAAAUUGGCCAGUGAGGAGGAACUUAGAGAGAACGUGAAUGGGAUUUCUGACACGAUUAAAGAAAAUAUUGUAAAACUCCAGCAAAGACUCAUAAAAGAACAGAACAGUGGAGGGAGUGAUGCCACCCUGGACAAGGACGGACUCUCCUCAUCCUCAGACAAGAAGGAAGAGAAGACAGCUGAAG